UGAACGCUGGCGGCGUGCCUAAUACAUGCAAGUCGAGCGAACGGACGAGAAGCUUGCUUCUCUGAUGUUAGCGGCGGACGGGUGAGUAACACGUGGAUAACCUACCUAUAAGACUGGGAUAACUUCGGGAAACCGGAGCUAAUACCGGAUAAUAUUUUGAACCGCAUGGUUCAAAAGUGAAAGACGGUCUUGCUGUCACUUAUAGAUGGAUCCGCGCUGCAUUAGCUAGUUGGUAAGGUAACGGCUUACCAAGGCAACGAUGCAUAGCCGACCUGAGAGGGUGAUCGGCCACACUGGAACUGAGACACGGUCCAGACUCCUACGGGAGGCAGCAGUAGGGAAUCUUCCGCAAUGGGCGAAAGCCUGACGGAGCAACGCCGCGUGAGUGAUGAAGGUCUUCGGAUCGCAAAACUCUGUUAUUAGGGAAGAACAUAUGUGUAAGUAACUGUGCACAUCUUGACGGUACCUAAUCAGAAAGCCACGGCUAACUACGUG
rnacentral:rRNA from 1 species